GAGCAAAACAGUGGAAACAUAUUAGAACACCAUCAGGAAGCAAAACUGAACGAUGAUGUUUAACACACUGUGUGGCGCAGAUUCACAUCAGAUGAGGAGUCACAACAGGGACAUGGAUUCAUGCAACACCACUGCCAUAGAGAGGUAAAAAUAAAGGAGAAUUACAUUCAUGAUGACACAUAAUCACAUCUCAACAGGCAAAGAGCAAAAGACAGAAAAAAACAUCAGAAAUAGUGUUUGAUAUUAAUUCCCAGCUUGCUGGAGGGGCUCAAUUAGGAAGUGACACUCAAUUGAGUGGUCUCUGAAAUUAUGGGUUUCACUCAAUUUCAUUAAACUGUACUUAGCUGCGGCAGUAGCCCUGGACUUGAAAGGUCAUACAGAAAUAGUUCUUGAUUAAUGAACCUUGUUAAAUGUACCGAGACUUGUAAGUACAAGCAUUAAAGCCACAGCAAUAUUUCUCAACUUACUACUCAGCUACCAAAGUUACUAUUCUACAACCAGUACAUGUGACAAGUUAUGCCAUUAAUACUUAAAACUAAUGCUUUAUGUCAGAAAAAAAAUAAAGUACAGUUGACAAGAACAUAUACAGUGUGCAGACAGUGAUGGUGACGCCGGGUGUUGUUGGGGACUGUAAGGAAAAGUGUGAUCACCAGAGUCAGGACAGCAGCUGGAGGAAGAUGGAGUGAUCCAGGAAGUGAACUUAUUGGCACUGAAGCCACAAAUUAAAGUGUCUGUCUAUGUCGAGUUUAUCCACUGCCCGAGUACGAACUAACCUCGUCAUUGUUGAUCUGAACUGGAUUAGUGUUGCAAAGUGCUUUUUCUAGCACCAAAUUAAUACAGUUUUGUCUUCCUUCAGGAAUCUAUUCACUGGAGACUAUCCUGGCAACAAUACAGCAGUACCUGGUGCGGGCAGAUCCAGCUUUGCCCUCCUGAGCUCCAUCAUGGACGCCUGUAGCUGCUCAAUCACAAAGUCGUCCUCGAAGAAGAAAUCUUUGGACAACGUCGCCUGCAGAAACUCCACCAGCUCUUCCAUGGACAACUUCAACAGGUGUUGUUUCAGUUUGGGCAUCAUCUUCUUGAGGAUGCGGUCGUGGUGCUCCUGGAAACGCAUCAGCUUCGGGAAGCCGGGGACAAAAAACCCUAAAGUUGAGCUUCAUGAUGGCAACAGAAAGCAGCUGUAAAAGCUCAACUGUAAGUCCACAUCUUCUCUUUAGUUGGUUGUACAUAUUCCUGGCUUUCAGGGCCAAUUGGUGAUAAUCCCUUAAAACGUGUAUGUAUAUAGUAUAUAAUGCAUAUUCCUUAGUGUAGUGAUCUUGGCCUUUUAUGGAGGUUUUAGUGUCAGUUGCUAGAGAUUUAUGAGCUCCUUGCUGCAGCAUGCCUGCUUGCUAAUUUGUCCUGAGUUCCUCCUCACUGAUGUCUUUCUGUUGAUAAUUUUAUCAAGACCAGCAAAGGUCCUGAGGCACAAGUCUCACAAGGUUUCAAUGAAAAAAAAAAAACAGGGGACAGUUUAAUACCUUUUUAGUCAGGGUCUUGUUUUGAAUAAAUGUCAAAUUAGCACUUGAUAAUCAUGGUCAGAAGACUGUGUCCCUACCAGCCACUUCAGUGUUUUUAACACAUUAACACCACCGAUGUCCACUGGAUGCGGCUGUUUUGUGUUUUACAAGCAUGUUAAAUACAGCAACAUUUUCAUUUCUACCCACACUGUUGAGUAUUUGUGUUUCCUAAAUGGUGUAUAUUACCAGCAGGAAAACUAUUGCUGUCUCCCUCCCUCUCCAAGAAAAUCUAGUUGACAAAAAACCUCCCCACAAGGUUCAUUAGUAGCUGUUCUGCAGUUUUUAAUGUUCAAAUUUUCUUCAAAGAAAUUUAAACAUCUACUUUCAACUGGGCAUACGCCAUCUGCUGAGGAAUAUCAUGUGAUAUUCUACAGGAACAGCUAGUAAUAGACCUUGUGGUGAGAUUUUUUUUUACCAGCUGCUGUUUCCAAGUCAAGAAUGAACUUUUAAUCUGAAGAAAAAAUAGUUUUGUUUGUGUGCUGAGACAAAGUCAGAAACUCAAAUGUAUAUGAAUUUCACGUUGCAUUCUCCUCCAGCAGAAAUAGACCCAAUGCAUUAAGAUAUCGGAGCGAAAGCAAAGAGCAACAAGUGAGACGCUCCUUUCACAUCAGCUGAAAGGCAGCAGAUGGUCUCCGGCAGCCGCAUCCUGUGGACUUCGGCUGUUAAAGUAGAAUAUGCUGCAGGAGAUAACCAAACUUUUUCUCUUUUUCCCCUUUACCCAUAAAAGUGUGUUUAUAUG